rnacentral:rRNA from 1 species
GUGCCAGCAGCCGCGGUAAUACGGAGGGUGCGAACGUUAAUCGGAAUUACUGGGCGUAAAGCGCGCGUAGGCGGUUUAUUAAGUGGGAUGUGAAAGCCCCGGGCUCAACCUGGGAACUGCAUUCCAAACUGACAAACUAGAGUACGAGAGAGGGGGGUAGAAUUCAGAGUGUAGCGGUGAAAUGCGUAGAUAUUCUGAGGAAUACCAGUGGCGAAGGCGGCCCCCUGGCUUGAUACUGACGCUGAGGCGCGAAAGCGUGGGGAGCAAACAGGAUUAGAUACCCUGGUAGUCCACGCCGUAAACGAUGUCUACUAGCCGUUGGGAGGCUUGACCUUUUAGUGGCGCAGCUAACGCGAUAAGUAGACCGCCUGGGGAGUACGGUCGCAAGAUUAAAACUCAAAUAAAUUGACGG